AGAGUUUGAUCCUGGCUCAGAUUGAACGCUGGCGGUAUGCUUAACACAUGCAAGUCGAACGGUAACAGGCCCAGCUUGCUGGGUGCUGACGAGUGGCGGACGGGUGAGUAACGCGUAGGAAUCUACCUUGUAGUGGGGGAUAACUUGGGGAAACCCAAGCUAAUACCGCAUAAGCCUUACGGGGGAAAGCGGGGGAUCUUCGGACCUCGUGCUACUAGAUGAGCCUGCGUCAGAUUAGCUUGUUGGUGGGGUAAAGGCCUACCAAGGCGAUGAUCUGUAGCUGUUCUGAGCGGAAGAUCAGCCACACUGGGACUGAGACACGGCCCAGACUCCUACGGGAGGCAGCAGUGGGGAAUAUUGGACAAUGGGCGCAAGCCUGAUCCAGCAAUACCGCGUGUGUGAAGAAGGCCUGCGGGUUGUAAAGCACUUUCAGUGGGGAGGAAGGCUCGAUGUUUAAUAUGCAUCGGGAUUGACGUUACCCACAGAAGAAGCACCGGCUAACUCUGUGCCAGCAGCCGCGGUAAUACAGAGGGUGCAAGCGUUAAUCGGAAUUACUGGGCGUAAAGGGUGCGUAGGUGGUAUGUUAAGUCAGAUGUGAAAGCCCUGGGCUCAACCUGGGAACUGCAUUUGAAACUGGCAAACUAGAGUAUGGUAGAGGGAAGUGGAAUUUCCGGUGUAGCGGUGAAAUGCGUAGAUAUC
rnacentral:rRNA from 1 species